rnacentral:rRNA from 1 species
AGCAGUCGCCACGGGAAUACAGAGGGUGCGAGCGUUAAUCGGAUUUACUGGGCGUAAAGCGUGCGUAGGCGGCUUCUUAAGUCGGAUGUGAAAUCCCUGAGCUUAACUUAGGAAUUGCAUUCGAUACUGGGAAGCUAGAGUAUGGGAGAGGAUGGUAGAAUUCCAGGUGUAGCGGUGAAAUGCGUAGAGAUCUGGAGGAAUACCGAUGGCGAAGGCAGCCAUCUGGCCUAAUACUGACGCUGAGGUACGAAAGCAUGGGGAGCAAACAGGAUUAGAUACCCCGUAGUCCCUGUCUCUUAUACA